rnacentral:rRNA from 1 species
AGUGAGGAAUAUUGGGCAAUGGACGCAAGUCUGACCCAGCCAUGCCGCGUGGAGGAAGACUGCCCUAUGGGUUGUAAACUCCUUUUAUACAGGAAUAAUGGCAGAUACGAGUAUUUGUUUGAAUGUACUGUAUGAAUAAGCAUCGGCUAACUCCGUGCCAGCAGCCGCGGUAAUACGGAGGAUGCAGGCGUUAUCCGGAUUUAUUAGGUUUAAAGGGUGCGCAGGCGGCAUAUUAAGUCAGUGGUGAAAGUUUGCAGCUUAACUGUAAAAUUGCCAUUGAUACUGAUAGGCUUGAAUAUAGUAGAGGUAGGCGGAAUGUGUAGUGUAGCGGUGAAAUGCUUAGAUAUUACACAGAACACCGAUUGCGAAGGCAGCUUACUAUGCUAUUAUUGACGCUGAGGCACGAAAGCGUGGGUAGCGAACAGGAUUAGAUACCCUGGUAGUCCACGCCGUAAACGAUGAUUACUGGUUGUGAGCGAUACACAGUUCGUGACUGAGCGAAAGCAUUAAGUAAUCCACCUGGGGAGUACGUUCGCAAGAAUGAAACUCAAAGGAAUUGACGGGGGCCCGCACAAGCGGAGGAACAUGUGGUUUAAUUCGAUGAUACGCGAGGAACCUUACCUGGGCUUAAAUGUAUGGUGCAUAAGUUGGAAACAGCUUUUUCUUUCGGGACUCUAUACAAGGUGCUGCAUGGUUGUCGUCAGCUCGUGCCGUGAGGUGUCGGGUUAAGUCCCAUAACGAGCGCAACCCCUAUCGUUAGUUGCCAUCGGGUAAUGCCGGGGACUCUAGCGAAACUGCCGGUGUAAACCGAGAGGAAGGUGGGGAUGACGUCAAAUCAGCACGGCCCUUAUGUCCAGGGCUACACACGUGUUACAAUGGUCGGUACAAAGGGCAGCUACCUGGUGACAGGAUGCUAAUCUCAAAAGCCGGUCUCAGUUCGGAUCGGAGUCUGCAACUCGACUCCGUGAAGUUGGAUUCGCUAGUAAUCGUAGAUCAGCGAUGCUACGGUGAAUACGU